CCUGGAAAUUACAUCAACAGUUUCGAGUUGUCUGCUUGUAACUUGUCAGUUUGUUUUUUUCCAAAAGUCAGACAAGAGUUAAUUGCUGGUUAAUUGAGUCUCAAAAGUGAAAAUAGGCGUUGUUUGUGAAAAAUAUUUUGUCUUGGAAUCAAAUUGUUGGUAGACCCAAAUUGUUACACCAGUUAAAGGAAACAGGAGUUUCAUCAGAAGAGAUUCAGCAUCAUCAGUACUACAACCAGGUGGUUUUGGAUGUCAAACAAAUUUUAAAAUGCUUCCCUCCAGGUAUUAAUGAAAAUAUUCAAGCAGACCUCCAAGUAAAAGUCACAGAGCUGAUAAUAAGAGUUCUGAUAGCAAAUGAAGGUCUCCAUUACUAUCAGGGUUUUCACGAUAUUGCCAUCACACUGUUGCUUGAAUUAGGAGAAGAGAAAAGUUACAGUGUGUUAUGCAGACUUUCCCAAUCACAUUUCCAACUGUUUAUGGGACCAGAUAUGGAGCCUAUCUACAAUGGAAAUUCUUAACUUAGUGUAUGCACUAGUCAAAAAUGAAAAUCGUGAUUUGUACAAUUAUUUGAUGAGGUAUUUGAAACACCUCUCCCCCCCCACCCCUAAAAAAAAGAGAGAAAGAUUCUCUAUAUUUCAAGAGAGCAUUCCUAUAUUUCAAAUUUUAUGAAUGUGAAGAAUGUAAUUAAAUAAACUGGUUUUGUAUUCAUUA